GCAGGUUUGGCCGAGUGGUCUAAGGCGGUAGAUUUAAGCUCUACUGACGAAAGUCGCCGGGGUUCGAACCCCCGAGCCUGCA